AAAUUUCCUUCAGUCCUUCGAUUCUUCCUGUUUAAACUUGGCUUAUUUGCUUAUUCAUGGGAACCUGUGUUAUUCUCCUUAAAUCAGUAUUAUUUCAAGUUCUUGAUUCACUGAUUUGUUGUAUGCUGAUUCUCGAUUAUUUUCAUAUUCUGCAACCUUAUUUAGUUUUCUUACCUUAUUUGGGUUAACUGUGUUAUUUAAUGAUUCUUCACUAACUAUUUUCUUAAUUGAACCCUUGUGUAUUUACCCCUAAUUGUCUAUUUUGUACCUAAUGCCUUACUUGAUUUCUUUCCUUACAAAAUUUUAUGCCCAUUACCGUUGGUUAAUUACCCCUUAAUUAAAGGAGUAAUUGCAUUGAUUUGAUUCUAAUUAUUGCUGAACUUUGAUUCUUGACUUAUUUGCAUAUUUUCAAACCAUAAAUACCCUGCUAUUUCACUAACAUAACACGAACACAUUGGUUCAAAACUCUUUCACACUCAAAACUUUUCUGCUCUCCCUUUCUCUCUCUCUCUCUCUCUCUCUCUCUCUCUCUUUGGUUACUUGCUAUUAUUCUGAGUUGGCCAGCUGCAAUCUAAGGCUAACUAUUGUGCUUUCCUAUUCCUCACUUUGUGUUUACUAUCUCUCUAUUGGUAUGUCCUGAUUUCAAUUCAAGUCCCAAAAACCAAUAUGUUUCUUUUACUACUUCAGUUUAUCAUGUUUCUAAUUUGUUUCUAUCUAUGGUUCAGUUAUUCAACAUGCAAUUGACAUGUUUACAUUACUGUUUCAUCUAGCAUGCUAGUCUAACCUUCUUAGGGCCUUUCGGAACAUGUUCUACCCCAUUCCCCUUAGUAGUCUGUUUCAACAUGACUCUACCUUGCUUUGAAUGCUUGUCUAUUUGCUAUCCAAUUUUGAUAUGCAAGCUGAUCUAUCACUUUAAAUGAUUGAUUCUGAGGUUAUUUCUGAAACUCCUACUGUAUUGGUACCAAUAGCUAUCCCUUAAUCCCAUAAACCUCACAAGAACUGCUAAGCUCGUGAUACUAGGUGCUCUAUGUGUCCCCAAUUCCCAUUCCCUUGUGUAAAGGACUGUUAUUUGAGUAUUGCAGAACUUGUUUGACUGGCCUGUUGUUUGUUUAAUUGCACCACUAUUUUCAAAAGUUGUUUACGAAACAACUCUCACGUUUGCAAUAUUAUUUCAACUAAGUCUCUUUUUACAUUAUUUUCCUACUGAAACCUUUUCAAACUAUGUCAAGCAUUCUCACUCUACUCCUAAGUCACUAGGUUAUGCCCCCUCCAAUGUGUGUACUGCCCUGGAAUCCUUUUGAGAUCCCUCUGAACUCUGGCACACUGAGGCUGACCCUUCCACACUGCACUUACUUAUUUUGGUUACAAAGUCUAGGUGUGGGCGCUGCUCGAGAUCCUUGAGAUCCUUAGGAAACUCUAACACACAUGGACAAUGACAUUGUCUAUGAAAUUAGUAUUUGAAGCUAUU
rnacentral:lncRNA from 1 species